rnacentral:tRNA from 1 species
GCCGGGGUGCCCGAGCCAGGGUAAGGGGUCGGACUUGAGAUCCGAUGGGCCGCGAGGCCCGCCCGGGUUCAAAUCCCGGCCCCGGCG